rnacentral:rRNA from 1 species
UCAUCCCUACGGAGGCAGCAGUGAGGAAUAUUGGUCAAUGGGCGGAAGCCUGAACCAGCCAAGUCGCGUGAGGGAAUAAGGCCCUACGGGUCGUAAACCUCUUUUGCCGGGGAGCAAGGGCCGGGACGAGUCCCGGUCCGGAGAGUACCCGGAGAAAAAGCAUCGGCUAACUCCGUACCAGCAGCCGCGGUAAUACGGAGGAUGCGAGCGUUAUCCGGAUUUAUUGGGUUUAAAGGGUGCGUAAGCGGGCUUUUAAGCCAG